UAAGUAGACCAGACAUUUUAUUAGAAAUAAUGCAAACCUUGUACAGAAUUCAAAUGAUGGGUAUAACAGUAAUAUUUUUAUGGGUUCCUCCGCAUAUUGGUGUUCAAGAAAAUGAAAUUGUAGAAAAGGAAGCAAAACAAGCUGUUAAAAAUAAUGACAUCACUACAAUGUAAGUAUAAGUAAAAUGAAGUCAAGAGUAUUAUUGAGAAAAGAAUGAAAGAAAGGUGGCAAAGACAAUGGGACAAUGAAAAAAAGGGCCGAAGGUUUUACAAAAUUCAUAAGAAAGUAGGAGAAAUGAGAAGUGUAGGAAAAAACAGGAGAGAGGAGAUAAUAAUAUCAAGGAUGAGAUUUGGGCACACAAAAUUAAAUAGUACACUUUUUAAAAUGGGUAAACAUGGUACAGGACAAUG
rnacentral:lncRNA from 1 species